ACUUGCACUGGAUAAUUCAAUCAUAAAAAGUGAUUUUAUUAAAUACAAAAAGUAGGAUUUAAGUGGUCCCAAGUAAUAACAGAACAGAGUGAAUUACCAUGCAAAAUAAAAUAGAACACACAAGUCUAAACCUAAUACAGUAAGAAACUGAAUACAGAU